UAUGUAUAUAUAUAUAUGGUAUGAUAUAUGAUGGGAUAUAUAUAUAUAUAUGUAGUAAUGAUGGAAUAUGUAUGCAUGUGUGUGAGUGCUCGCACACUAACAGCUUUCAGUCAUUCUUCUCUAAUUCUAUUUAUUCAAAACCCCAUUUAUAAUUAGCAAUGGUCUCUGAAAUUUGUGACAGAAGUACAUUUUGUUAUGAGAUAUAUUUGUGUUCGCCUGUGCAACAUGCACACAUGCAAUCUUGCAUGCACUUGUGCAUGUAGUGAUGAAAGAAAUGCAAGCAGAUAGUUUUCAAAUUUCUGUUGAAUUAAAGUGAAAUGCUAUUUUGUACAUAUACCUUUGUAUGUAUGUGUGUGUGUGUGUGUGUAUGUAUGUAUGUAUAUAUAUAUAUAUAUAUCUGAAUAGUAAAUAGGCAUUCAUUUUUGAAAGAUUUAUCUCUAGAAAAUGGUGUUAACCGAGGCAUUAAGUAUUUAGAAGAUCUGCCUUGUGCAAGUUUUAAUUAUUUAACCCAUUUGGGCAUUAUACUAAUUAGUAGUGUCCACACAUAAAAUGGUGUGAUGUCUAUUUACUUUUGGUAUGUGUGUGUGUAUACAUAUAUAUACAUACAUACAUACAUAUAUAUAUAUAUAUAUAUAUACACACAUACAUACAUAUGUAUAUAUGCACACAAAUAUAUAAGCAUGUGUGUGUUUGUGUAUAAUGCAUUUCUAAACCAAGUGUUACUGAAGAUGACAUAAUUUGUUUUGGUUAAGUCAAAAAUAUGACUUGCUGUGUAAUGGAAGUAAGCCAUUUACAUGGUAAGCAAGAGAUUUACGGUUCAAUUCUUCGUCUGUGGAUUCAUCUUUAUUUUUUUUUUCUGAUAUAAAUUUGUUAACAAAUGUAUGCUUAAUAUUUUUUUAUAACAAAAUUUUAGUUACAAUAUCUGUAUGACUAUAUGUGUGUGUGUGUAUAUACACAUCUGUAUAAACAUAUGCAUGUGUAUAUAUUUGUGUUUAUAUGCUCAUCAUGCAUAUAUGUAUAUAUGUUCAUGUAUGUAUAUAUCUAUUUGCACAUAUAUAUUCGCACACACACAUAUGUACAUAGUAAGUUGGAUGAAGUAGUAUGUGCCAUAUUUUGGCCAGUGGGGGCUACAUUAAUAAACUAAAAUGUGUGGGUCAUUUUGGAAAGAAUGAAUGAAGUAUAUGGAAAAGGACAAAGAGAAACCCUUUCCCGUUUUCUCUCUCAGAUUCUGGUGAAAAAUAAAAAAAAAAAUAUUUAAAAAAAAAUUUAACAAUUGACAAUUUAAAAAAUAUAUAAAUAUAUAUUUAAGAGAAAAAUUAUUUUAUGUAAAAAAAAAAUUAAAAAGUAUAAAUGCUGAAAAAAAAUAUAUAAUUAUAAAAAAGAACUAAUUAGAUUGUCUUCUGUAGGUUCCUGGAGAAAGGAAGCUGGAAAAAAAGGAUUUCAUGUUUUCUCUACUCUUUUCUCUUUGUCUUUCGUCUUCUCUUUCCCUCUCUCUCGGUAAAGAAAGAGACAGAAGUUUCCAAUGUAAAAGUAGUUUCAAUAAUGUUAGAAAUUGUUCGUUCCUCCAAAAUAGCAAAACCUUCUGCAUUUCCAGAAAGCAAAAAAAAAAAAAUAAUAAUAAUAAAUAAUAAAAAUAAAAAAAACUGAAGGUUUAAACUUGAAAAACAAACAAAAAAAAUUACAAUUUAACCCCAGCUGUGAUAUUUUCUGCAAUGCUGUUUUUUUUUUUUUUUUUUUAAUUCUUUUUUUUUUUUUCCUCUGUGAAUUAAGUGAAUUAAUUAAUUAAUACCAGUAAACAGACAGGUGAGAAAAUAGAGUUUUUCUGGUCAUCCUCUGGACCAGAAACAGACAGGUGAGAGAGAAACUAAACUUUCUGGUGGCCCUCUGAUAUGGCUACAGAGAAAUACGAGGACUGAAUUAUUAUUAUUAUUAUUAUUAUUAUUAUUUCCUUAUUAUGAGAAAAUGAAGGAUGGAAGCGAAAGAAAGAAAGAAAACGAGUUAUUGGAUGUUGUGUUGGUCGUUAAUUUAUGAAUGUAUAUAUUUGUUAACGAGUGAUUCUGGCCUUGCUGGAGCACUGGCAUGAAUUGGUGUGUGUUUGUGUGUGUAUGUGUGUGUGUGUGCAUAUUUAAUCAGAGAAUGUGAGUGUCCAACUACAGAAAGAAACCAAAAAACAAAAACAAAAAAAAAUACAAAAAAUACAAACAUGAAAAGUUUUUAUAUAUAUAUUAUAUAUAUAAUAUAUAUAUAUAUAUAUUAAAAAUUUAUUCAUGCAUGGGGAA
rnacentral:lncRNA from 1 species